rnacentral:rRNA from 1 species
CGUAGUUGGAUUUCUGGUGGAAGUGACCGGUCUGUCCCUAGUGGAUGUGAACUUGUGUCUACUUUUGCCAUCCUUGGGGAGAGCGUGCCUGGCAUUAGGUUGUCGGGUUCGGGAUCCCCAUCCUUUACUGUGAAAAAAUUAGAGUGUUUAAAGCAGGCUUAUGCCAUUGAAUACAUUAGCAUGGAAUAAUAAGAUAGGACUUUGGUGGUCUAUUUUGUUGGUUUGCACACCAAGGUAAUGA